AUCAGAGCUAGGGAGCGACAGUCGGGAACAGCGAGUCUGCCGAAGCCGGCUGUUGUGUGAGGGUGUGAGACGGCGGGGCGGUGAGGGGCCACCGCGGCUUGGGGGAUAGUGCGUGUGGGGUUGACCGUGUGUCUGCUUGAGAGGCUGUGAAGAUAUGGGGGGCAGAUAUGGGAGAAAUGCUCGGGCCUGAAGUCCCCAGCCCACCGUGCUCAAGAGUAGCGGACGUUUUGCCACCAUCCUUGUCUGUGCUACUGUCUGCUGCAGCUUCCGUGCCCCGUUCUCCUGGAGCAGGCAAGACCUGGAGUGAGGUGCUUGGGUGCGCUCGAGAGAGCUUCCCCCUGCUCCACCUGUCCCGCGGUGCGCGCAGGCCAACGCGUCGGGCAGUGGGCUUCAAGCGCUGGUUUAGCCACAAAAGACCAGAAGGCGUAAAAGCGGCUUGCAUUCAAUUAGCAGCGAAGCUCGCGGGCGCUGGCGGGACAGGCGCGUGAGGCCACAACACAUGCGUGUAUCUUGCUUGGGCUAUCUUCCCUGCUCUGCCACGCCGGGUCUGGAGAAGGGGUUUCAGCCCCAGGACAUUUACUGAGAGUCGGCGAAUAUUGGGAGCCGCGAUGUUCCCCCUUCGG
rnacentral:lncRNA from 1 species